CGGUUUUCUAUCUGUCAUUCAUCAUUUUGUCGAUGCAGAUACCUUUCGGAGUGAUUUUGUGUUAUAAAAUUAAUAGUGUGAAAAAUAAAUGAAAAUAUGAUACCCAGCGUGAAGAGACCAAUCAGUAGCGUACGAUCGGACACGGGUGGGCUAGGAAGCUCUGUCAACGCACGUAGCCAGUGCACAUAAGAUCGUCGCUCGAAGCAGUCCUUAUCCAAGGAUUACCGGAUGCUAGUCCGAUUGGACCAACCUUUGACGGCCUGUUCGGACUUCCAGGUUUCAUUUCCAGUUACCUUCACGAGGCUUGUUUCACUCUGCCCGCUUUACAGAACCGUGUCUGUACCGGUGCCCGCUCUAUGCCCGGCCCAUCUUCCUGCACCUUUAAUACAUCCAAACGCUGAACACCAUCUGGUGUUGUACCGGCGGCCGUCCCUGCGCUUCCCAUCCCACCACAACUCUCAUUAUUUGGGGGUGGGGAGGUGACUUCCUGCCGUCCAACUACAGAUACGAUGGUGGUAUCAUGCUGCAGAAAAUGUACAUCGGCAAUCAGCAUCGGGUCUGGCUGUUAUGGAUGUGGCUCAAUAAAUAAUUGUGUUUGUUUUUAUAACUCAAACUAACUUUUUACGCAAAUAAAACCACUAAAAUUAAAAAAAAA